rfam:Gossypium arboreum cultivar AKA8401 contig_466_1, whole genome shotgun sequence.
AUCUUUGCGCUUGGGGCAAUGACGCAGCUAGUGAGGUUCUAACCGAGGCGCGUCUAUUGCUGGUUGAAAACUAUUUCCAAACCCCCUCUUAGGCCUGGGUUCCGCCUUGGCCUUCGAGAAUUUCUGGAAGGGCUCCCUGCGGGGUAAAGCC